rnacentral:lncRNA from 1 species
AUGCGGUUUUCAAAUCGACGAUCGGCUUCAUUAGACUUGAUCUACAGUAUUAAAAAUAUUUAAAAAUUAAAUUUUAUAAUUUUUUUGUAUCAUUUAACUAAUGGUCAAAAAGGUCUCAAAAUUGACAAUUGUAAUGGUAGAUGUGAUGCGUUUGUGAAAUUUAACAGUGUAAAACAAUCCAAAUUUGAUGAAAUUUUUAUAGAAAGUUUUUUUUCACUAUUUAGGGUAAGACUAGUAUCUCUGAUCUUAAAUUUAAGUUUUUUAUUAUUAUUUUUUAUAAAAUUUUUAUUUUCAGUCAUUCAUUUUUAGACUACUCGUUUGAUAGGUAAAUGAUGUCAAAAAAUUAUGAAAUUUAAUUUUCAAAUACUUCCAAUAGUGUAAAUCAAAUCUAACAAAACUGAUUGUCAAUUUGGAAGCCAUAUUAUUAAAAACAACUUGGUAGUAUGAAGGUCUCCGUACUACCGAUAGUAUACCAGCCUAGCUCUCUCUCUCUCUCUCUCUCUCUAUAUAUAUAUAUAUAUACUCUUAUGAGUAUAGAGCCAUUUGUACUCAUAAGUUUUCGACCGUUGGAUGAAGGAAUGUGCGGUUAGGAUGAUAGUGAUUUCCGGUUAGUUUAAUAGUAAUCCCUUAGGGUUAAGUGGGUGAUUGGUUGAAUAGUAUGAUCUAACGGAUGAAAAUAAUAAAAAUAAAAAAGAUCUAACGGCCAAAACUUUAUGAGUAUAAAGAGGUCUAUACUCAUAAGAGUAUAGUAGCCAGGCUCUAUAUACAUAUUGCAGCAUAAAUUUUCCAGCAUCCUGGGAAAUUUUAACAAAAUGCAUCAGGAAUUUCUUGCGAUUUGGAUUUUUACUGAAAUUAAUAAUAUAACUUUUCUAUUGCAAUUAUUCAAAAAAAAAAAUCUUAAAAUGAAUUUUCAUAUGCUGGGGCUUACCAAUAUAGAUGGAAAUUACUACUCUCAGGAGCGGGCUUUAGGGCCCGAAAGCCACCGGCGAUAAUUAAAUUCAAUACAAAUAGGUUUUUCAAAGUUUAGUUAGGUACGUAUUUUAAUUUGAAGCUCCUGACCCAGCUCAAAUUACUUAAUUCAUACAGAACUUCCUUCAGUUUUCAUUUGGUGUGAGGCCCGUGGACAGAUUAAAAAAAGAGAGAAAAAGANUUUUUUUUUUCACUAUUUAGGGUAAGACUAGUAUCUCUGAUCUUAAAUUCAAGUUUUUUAUUAUUAUUUUUUAGGAGAUUUUUAUUUUCAGUCGUUCAUUUUUAGACUACUCGUUUGAUAGAUAAAUGAUGUCAAAAAAUUAUGAAAUUUAGUUUUCAAAUACUUCCAAUAGUGUAGAUCAAAUCUAACGAAGCUGAUCGUCAAUUUGGAAGCCACAUCAUUAAAAACAACUUGGUAGUAUGAAGGUCUCCGUACUACCGAGAGUAUACCAGCCUAGCUCUCUCUCUCUCUCUCUCUCUCUCUCUCUCUCUCUCUCUAUAUAUAUAUAUAUAUAUAUAUAUAUAUACUCUUAUGAGUAUAGAGCCCUUUGUACUCAUAAGUUUUCGACCGUUGGAUGAAAGAAUAUGCGGUUAGGACUUAGGAUGAUAGUGGUUUCUGGUUAGUUUAAUAGUAAUCCCUUAGGGUUAAGUGGGUGAUUGGUUGAAUAGUAUGAUCUAACGGGUGAAAAUGAAAAAAAAAAAGAAGAAGAAGAUCUAUCGGCCAAAAAUUUAUGAGUAUAAAGAGGUCUAUACUCAUAAGAGUAUAGUAGCCAGACUCUAUAUAUAUAUUGCAGCAGAAAUUUU